rnacentral:rRNA from 1 species
CCUACGGGAGGCAGCAGUGGGGAAUAUUGGGCAAUGGGCGCAAGCCUGACCCAGCAACGCCGCGUGAAGGAAGAAGGCUUUCGGGUUGUAAACUUCUUUUAAGAGGGAAGAGCAGAAGACGGUACCUCUUGAAUAAGCCACGGCUAACUACGUGCCAGCAGCCGCGGUAAUACGUAGGUGGCAAGCGUUGUCCGGAUUUACUGGGUGUAAAGGGCGUGUAGCCGGGCUGACAAGUCAGAUGUGAAAGUCCGGGGCUCAACCCCGGACUUGCAUUUGAUACUGUUGGUCUUGAGUAUCGGAGAGGCAGGCGGAAUUCCUGGUGUAGCGGUGAAAUGCGUAGAUAUUAGGAAGAACACCAGUGGCGAAGGCAGCCUGCUGGACUACAACUGACGGUGAGGCGCGAAAGCGUGGGGAGCAAACAGGAUUAGAUACCCUAGUAGUC